AUGGCGACCACGCUCCUGAACCAUUUUCUUCGAGGUUUUCAAACCAGCGUCGGUGCCAUGCAUGCAUGCACGUACCCGGCCGUGGAACCUGAGGUGCAGGCUAUUUUUGACUCGUCCAUCAAGGUGACGUUGGGGGAUGGUAGAAAGGCUCUUUUUUGGACGGAUUUUUGGCUCCACAGGCGUUUCAUUCAGUUUGAGGCCCCAGAGCUAUUCCUAGCGGUGAACGACGGUGCGCGGCGCACGCGAACAGUUCAUGAGGCCUUGGCGGACCGCGCUUGGAUCAGGGACAUCACAGGGGUGUUGACGGUUAGAGUGCUAACUCAAUUCUUGAUGCUCACGAACUUGCUUCUUGAGGUGCACCUACUCCCUGAGAUUCCGGAUCGCAUAAUCUGGAAGUGGACGCCGACUGAAGUAUAUUCUGCGAGCUCAGCUUACCAGGUGUUCUUUGCUGGUCUCGAGAGGUUCCCAUGCGGUCGGGCCCUUUGGAAGACUUGGGCCCCGGCCAAACGCCUUCGACACGGCCUCCAGUCCCACGUCAUGUGCCCAUUAUGCGAGCAGGAGGCUGAGACUGCAGACCACCUGGCACUGGGCUGUGUGUUUGCCAGGGAGGUGUGGCACUCUGCCCUCGCACGGUGCGGCCUUGGCCAGUUGAUGCCCAGUAUGGAUGCAACUCUCAUAGAGUGGUGGCCAGCCAGUCGUGCGAUGACCCCGAAGGAGUGGAGGAAGGGGUUUGAUUCGCUUGCCCUCCUCAUCGUCUGGAUGCUAUGGAGGGAGCGUAAUAGUCGUGUCUUCGAGCGGCAGUGGACCCCGAAGCCGCAACUCCGGCUCCUCCGCGUCGGCCUCCACAUUUAUCUUUGCUUCGACCUCAUCGAAGAGCGCGUCGGUCGCUACCCUUUCCUGCAUGUUGGUCUGCACAUAGGUUUCAUCCUGGAUAACCUGCUGCUCUGCUAUCUCGGACGCCUGGACGACCGCGAACUCCGCCUCCGCGUCCUCCAUGUUGAAGCCCGGAGCUGGCGCCAACUCCUCCUUUGGCUACUCCACCUCAUCCUCCUCCGGAUCUGCCACCUCCAUCAGAGCCAGCUACCACUCCUCUUCCUCCUCCUCCUCCUCCUCCGGCUCCGGCGAGUCUGGAGUCUGGAACCGCGCUCUGACAUGAACAUGGCACACAUGGUUAUCUUUUGUCGAACCAUGGCGAAGCUGGAGGGCGUGGGAAGAGUGGUGGAGUGGGAGAUACGUGGAUGGGCUCGGGCUGGCGGCGUGAAGAGUGAGGUGGAUGAGGCUAGGGUUGGGGGCGCCGGCCAGCUUAAAUAG
rnacentral:rRNA from 1 species